GACGUAGGGCGCGAGCGUUGUCCGGAUUUAUUGGGCGUAAAGAGCUCGUAGGCGGCUCGUUGCGUCAACCGUGAAAACCCGGGGCUUAACUUCGGGCUUGCGGUUGAUACGGGCGGGCUGGAGUUCGGUAGGGGAGACUGGAAUUCCUGGUGGUAGCGGUGAAAUGCGCAGAUAUCAGGAGGAACACCGGUGGCGAAAGCGGCGCGCUGGACCACAACUGACGCUGAGGAACGAAAGCUAGGGGAGCAAACAGG
rnacentral:rRNA from 1 species